rnacentral:rRNA from 1 species
GUGAACGCUGGCGGUAGGCCUAACACAUGCAAGUCGAACGGCAGCACAGUAAGCGCUUGCUCUUACGGGUGGCGAGUGGCGGACGGGUGAGGAAUACAUCGGAAUCUACUUUUUCGUGGGGGAUAACGUAGGGAAACUUACGCUAAUACCGCAUACGACCUACGGGUGAAAGCAGGGGAUCUUCGGACCUUGCGCGAUUGAAUGAGCCGAUGUCGGAUUAGCUAGUUGGCGGGGUAAAGGCCCACCAAGGCGACGAUCCGUAGCUGGUCUGAGAGGAUGAUCAGCCACACUGGAACUGAGACACGGUCCAGAAUCCUACGGGAGGCAGCAGUGGGGAAUAUUGGACAAUGGGCGCAAGCCUGAUCCAGCCAUACCGCGUGGGUGAAGAAGGCCUUCGGGUUGUAAAGCCCUUUUGUUGGGAAAGAAAAGCAGCAGGUUAAUACCCCGCUGUUCUGACGGUACCCAAAGAAUAAGCACCGGCUAACUUCGUG